GUUGCCAGCGGUCCGGCCGGGAACUCAAAGGAGACUGCCAGUGAUAAACUGGAGGAAGGUGGGGAUGACGUCAAGUCAUCAUGGCCCUUACGACCAGGGCUACACACGUGCUACAAUGGCGCAUACAAAGAGAAGCGACCUCGCGAGAGCAAGCGGACCUCAUAAAGUGCGUCGUAGUCCGGAUUGGAGUCUGCAACUCGACUCCAUGAAGUCGGAAUCGCUAGUAAUCGUGGAUCAGAAUGCCACGGUGAAUACGUUCCCGGGCCUUGUACACACCGCCCGUCACACCAUGGGAGUGGGUUGCAAAAGAAGUAGGUAGCUUAACCUUCGGGAGGGCGCUUACCACUUUGUGAUUCAUGACUGGGGUGAAGUCGUAACAAGGUAACCGUAGGGGAACCUGCGGUUGGAUCACCUCCUUA
rnacentral:rRNA from 3 species